GAGGAAUAACGCGGUAAUUAAAGAUUUGAAUUUAUGCAGCUCCCUUCUUCAGCAUUCAAGGCUCAGCAGGAGUUGAGAUGUUGGGCAUCUAGCAUCUUGCAUUUGGACGCGUGAGACCCAGAGGAAUGGAGUUGGUAGAACACAAAGCAUGCGCAGGGUGAGGGCCCCCUUAUCCCUGCUUGGGAUGGAAAACACCCCAGUGGUACCUGGCACUUCUGCACUCCCAAGACACAAUGAGUCCUGCUGCUCCUCGGAUGGGGCUGGCUGCCAGAUAUCCAGUGGAGACACAGUGACUGACAGGACGCUGGGACAAAACCAAGCAUUAGAUGGCAAUUACCAACAGAGCACACUUUCCGAGCAGGGCUGUGGAGAUCCUGUUCGCCUUGCUGUCCCUCUCCAAAAAACUUCCCUUUCACCAUCCACCACCCUUCAAAUGCUUCGCCACUCCUGCCUGCCCCACAACUGCCAUUACACGCCACAUCCCCACAUUUGGCCAGAGCCCAGACAAGAUCUACACUGGAUUGAUAACCUCUCUGUGUGUCCCCUGGCACCUAGGGCUGCAGUUCUGGUCCACAUGGUAGCCAUGGGCUGACCAGCUUUUUUCUACAUGACCAGAAGCUCCCUGUGAAUGUGACCACUUACCCAUACCCUGAGAACCUGUCUUCAUUAGGUUCUCAGUGACUGUUGUAGGUUAAACGAAUCCUCGCCAUGUUUCUGCCUCCUGCGGGAGGACAGAUGAUCUGUUUUAUUUAUAUCCCUUUUCAUUUUCCACAUCUCAGAUAACAGGGCCACCUCCCACCUCCCCAGACUGAAAGAAACAAGCGAGGCUGUUUUCCAAAAAACACUUUGGGUUGUAAAAGAUCAGCUACAGAAAAUUACUUGGCAAAUAAAUAUUUGAUAAAUGUGCUUGCAAAUUA
rnacentral:sRNA from 1 species